GAUGAACGCUGGCGGCGUGCCUAAUACAUGCAAGUCGAGCGAACAGACGAGGAGCUUGCUCCUCUGACGUUAGCGGCGGAAGGGUGAGUAACACGUGGAUAACCUACCUAUAAGACUGGGAUAACUUCGGGAAACCGGAGCUAAUACCGGAUAAUAUAUUGAACCGCAUGGUUCAAUAGUGAAAGACGGUUUUGCUGUCACUUAUAGAUGGAUCCGCGCCGCAUUAGCUAGUUGGUAAGGUAACGGCUUACCAAGGCAACGAUGCGUAGCCGACCUGAGAGGGUGAUCAGCCACACUGGAACUGAGACACGGUCCAGACUCCUACGGGAGGCAGCAGUAGGGAAUCUUCCGCAAUGGGCGAAAGCUUGACGGAGCAACGCCGCGUGAGUGAUGAAGGUCUUCGGAUCGUAAAACUCUGUUAUUAGGGAAGAACAAAUGUGUAAGUAACUAUGCACGUCUUGACGGUACCUAAUCAGAAAGCCACGGCUAACUACGUG
rnacentral:rRNA from 1 species